rnacentral:rRNA from 1 species
UACAGGGGGGGCAAGCGUUGUUCGGAAUUACUGGGCGUAAAGGGCUCGUAGGCGGCCAACUAAGUCACACGUGAAAUCCCCAGGCUUAACCUGGGAACUGCGUGUGAUACUGGAUGGCUUGAAUUCGGGAGAGGGAUGCAGAAUUCCAGGUGUAGCGGUGAAAUGCGUAGAUAUCUGGGGGAAUACCGGUGGCGAAGGCAGCGUCCUGGGAAGUGACUGACGCUCAUGUGCGAAAGCUAGGGGAGCGAACGGG